GUGACUCGGUGGUUCGCUGCCACACUUCCUACUCCUGGAUCGCACCCAGGAGGUCGCCGGUUCAAGUCCGGCUAGCUCCA
rnacentral:tRNA from 1 species